rnacentral:rRNA from 2 species
CUUGGUGAAAAUAGCUAGGGGGGUACACCUGGUCCCAUUCCGAACCCAGAAGUUAAGUCCCUAUACGCCGAAAGUACUUGGAGAGUAGUCUCCUGGGAGGAUAGGUAUUUGCCAAGC